GGGCCUAUAGCUCAGCUGGUUAGAGCGCACGCCCGAUAAGCGUGAGGUCGAUGGUUCGAGUCCAUUUAGGCCCA
rnacentral:tRNA from 1 species